AAUUUUUAUUUCGUUUCGGUAUGUGUUCCAAGUAGCAUUUUAGAAAAGCAUCAACGUAAAUGUUGGUGUUUGUGUGAUCUGACUUGAGCAGAUGAACAAGUACGUGAAAAUUCGUCAAAUUGGCCAGGGGUCAUUCGGUAAAGUGUUCCUGGUUAGACAUAAACAAUCUUUUGUGAAUUAUGUUAUCAAAGAAAUCGUUAUAUCUGGAAUGUCUACCAGUGAACGUGACGAUGCUAGAAAAGAAGUCGCAAUGCUGGCAACUCUCAAACACAAAAACAUUGUUUCCUAUUUCGAGUCUUUUGAAGAAUCUGGUCGGCUCUAUAUUGUUAUGACAUAUUGUGAAGGAGGUGAUCUCUACUCUAGAAUUAAUGACCAAAAAGGUGUGGAAUUCUGUGAAGAGCAAAUCUUAGAUUGGUUUGUUCAAAUAUGCUUGGCUGUGAAAUAUAUACAUGACAAAAACAUCUUACACAGAGACAUAAAAUCUCAGAAUAUAUUUUUAACGAAAGAUGGAACAGUGAAAAUUGGAGAUUUUGGUAUUUCUAAAGUAUUAAACAGUACCUGUGAUAUGGCAAAAACUUGUAUAGGAACACCUUUCUACCUUUCUCCAGAGAUUUGUGAAAAUCGGCCAUAUAACACUAAAAGUGAUAUCUGGUCCUUAGGUUGUGUUCUCUAUGAGCUUACCAAUUUACGCCACCCGUUUGAAGCCAGGAAUUUGAACAACUUAGUUUUUAAAAUUGUGAGUGGCAGAUAUCCACCAGUCCCUGCAAAGUAUUCAUCCAAUCUCAGGGACUUAAUUUCUGUGAUGCUGAAACGCUCAGCAAUUGAGCGUCCUUCAAUUAACAAUGUAUUGAAAUAUCCUUUUAUUGUAAAGAGACUAGUGAAGUUUACUGUUGGCAUUGAUCUUUCUCAGAAUAAUACACCUCAUGAUGUUCGUUCCUCAGUACAAUCUCGACCCCAGUCAGCAGCAUCACGACCCUCUUCUGCGGCAUCCGGGUGCUCUAAAGCUUCUAAUAAUGGAAAGUAUGACCCAGCACGGAUUUAUGGACGCAAAGCUAGUGAAAGCAGGCCUGGAAGUGGUGCCAAAAAGAAAAAAGUUACUGCAUCAGAGAGAAAGACACCGGAGAGAACAGUUACACCAAGCAAGCAGAGAACACCUGGUAUUUCAGCCAUUCGUGCUGCAGGUGACUACAAGAAGUACUAUGAUGCCUUUGAUAAAAUAGACAAAGCACGAGUAACCAGGUCACCAAAACCCUCUAAUCAAGCAUGGUACAUGAAUCAAGCUCGACAUAAACCAUUAAAUAUCUUAGGAGGGAAAGCAGUUGGUCCUAGGAACAGGUUCAGUCCUACACCUUGCCAAAGUAGAAUUGUCUCUGAUUUUCAUCAGCGUAGAGCUGAUGCUGCUCGUAACAAGUUAAAGGUUCAGGGCCAGAAAUUUGCACUGCCAGACCAAUCACACACACCCUCACCUAGGAAUGCCAUACUUCAUGGUACCAAUGCUCAGAAGAGGCAACAACAGGAGAAGGAAUAUCUUUUACACAUUCAGAAAAUAGCAGAGGAAAAUUUCCAGGAAAGGCAGAAACUAUACCGAGAACAAAAAUCAAAUUUGAAACUAAAAGAGCCUAAACCAUCACCGAAAUCUGUGACACAAGUAUUGAGAGAGAUUGGAGUUGAAGAGAAACCACGUUUGGAGAUCUCAAAGGAGGAUGUUGUCUUAAGAGCUAAUAAAGAUGAGAAAAAGCCUCAAGAUCCAUCCCGAGCUCCUCCUCGUUUACGAUGGAGUCAAAAAGAAACUGUGCACUUAGAAAACCUCCCCCUCGAAGAUCCCCUCGCAGAAUCUGAUGAAGUUGCAGUCUCUCAAGCUCGACAAAAAUGGAAGUAUCGAAAUUCUGUCAUUGAAAUACUGGAGAAUAAAUCUUUAGUUGAUCCAACACUGGUAAUAACUGAAGAAGUUGCUGAGGACCUUCUUUCAAAGAAUCAAGUAUUAAGAAAUCCUGUUCAAGGCUUGACUUCAGGAAAUACACCAGUGACAUCUGGCAUAGUUCCACCAAACAGUUCCAAACCAAAAGCAUUGAAGCAAGAAAGUGUUCCACAACCUGAGUCAUUUUUUGUGCCUUUUGACAAUGGUCCAGGAAAUAACAAUAAAACUGAGACCCCACCCAAAACUCAGAAUACUAAAUCUGUCAGUAAUGCUGCUCCUGUUGAAAAACCAAUCUCAAAUGCAACAUAUCAAAUUCCAAAGCGUGUAGAAGAUAGUACUUUCUCUGGAAACAAUUUACAACCAAUAAAACCAUUAAAAGGUGACGUAAAGCAACAAGAACCAAGUGAGACGGAGCAGACAUUGCCUGUAGAAAAAGAAUCUCAAUCUCUAGUGGAAGAGGUACCUGUGUUACAACAUUCAUUUUCAAGCCCUCAGUUGGAUUCAAUAAAUGAUCUUCCAGAACAAAAAGAGGAGCUAAUGAGGACUCGGUCAGUACCAGAUCUCACUAGUCUGUUCCAAACUGCUGAUAGCAAAAUAAAAGAAACUACUGAAAAUCUAGAUAGCUUAAAAAAGGAAUCACAGAAAACUGAUUUCCUGAAGCGACUUUCUCAAGUUUCUGAUGAUUUUGAACCAAGCCUUGAAGAGACAGACGAGAUUAGUCUGGUACGGCAGUCUAUGCAAGAUGUAUUGACAAAAAGUUUAGAUGAUGAAGAUAGUGAUGGAGAUGAUGGUGUCAGCUUAAUGUCUGACCAAACAGAACCAGAGCUGAAGAAUAUUAAAGAGGAAGAUGAGUGUGAAGAUGAUUAUGAUGAUGUCAGCCUAGGAAAUAGGGAUACUGACAGUAAAUGCAAUUUAUAUCUUUCAGCUUUAAUGGAAGAAAAUGCUGAGGAAGAUGCAGCAAGUACUGAUAUUUUCUCAAAGCUGGAAGAACGAAGGGAGCAACUUGAAAACGAUGUUGGAGGUGCACUUUUGAAAAAGGUUUACUGGAUGAUACAUGACAAACUGCAGGAAGAUGACAUAGAUGAUGAGGAAAUAAUUAGCUUACUGUCUGACAAAGCUGUUUACUACCAGCCAAUUGUCCAGUUAGUCCUUGCUGAUACAGCCUUCACCAAUACAUAGGCUGAACAGAUCUGUUCCAUCAUGGUAUCUCACAACUUGUCAUCUUUGUGAGAUACAGUACUGAGGUGAUUAAAGAAACAUUUGAUAGAAAUCUUUACAUCAAUAAAAUACUGACUUAAAGAAUGGUGUUCAAGUUAUUGGGUCUUCUCUGACAUGUCAUCUCUGGGAUAUUUGGACCAAGUGAAAACUAUUGCUAUUUAUAUUUCAAUUUUACUGUAAACUCAAACAUAUCCCAAUUCUUUGAAGUUGUAUACCUGCAACACAGCUAAUAUACCCCUUUCUUUUUCUUUUAUAAAUAUUUGUAAAUUUAUUUGUGCAGUCAUCCAUUUCUCAUUUUCCUUUUACAUUGUGAUUCAUAUCAAUUCCUGUAAAUAAAAUCAGUAAGGUGUCUAUAUAA